GAUGAAGAACGUAGCGAAACGCGAUAAGUAAUGUGAAUUGCAGAAUUUAGUGAAUCAUCGAAUCUUUGAACGCACAUUGCGCCCGCCAGUAUUCUGGCGGGCAUGCCUGUCUGAGCGUCAUUUCAACCCUCAUGCCCCUAGGGCGUGGUGUUGGGGAUCGGCCAAAGCCCGCGAGGGACGGCCGGCCCCUAAAUCUAGUGGCGGACCCGUCGUGGCCUCCUCUGCGAAGUAGUGAUAUUCCGCAUCGGAGAGCGAUGAGCCCCUGCCGUUAAACCCCCAACUUUCCAAGGUUGACCUCAGAUCAGGUAGGAAUACCCGCUGAACUUAAGCAUAUCAAUAAGCGGAGGA
rnacentral:misc_RNA from 1 species